GAUGAACGCUGGCGGCGUGCCUAAUACAUGCAAGUCGAGCGAAUGGAUUAAGAGCUUGCUCUUAUGAAGUUAGCGGCGGACGGGUGAGUAACACGUGGGUAACCUGCCCAUAAGACUGGGAUAACUCCGGGAAACCGGGGCUAAUACCGGAUAACAUUUUGAACCGCAUGGUUCGAAAUUGAAAGGCGGCUUCGGCUGUCACUUAUGGAUGGACCCGCGUCGCAUUAGCUAGUUGGUGAGGUAACGGCUCACCAAGGCAACGAUGCGUAGCCGACCUGAGGGGGUUAUCGGCCACACUGGGACUGGGACACGGCCCAGACUCCUCCGGGAGGCAGCAGUAGGGAAUCUUCCGCAAUGGACGAAAGUCUGACGGAGCAACGCCGCGUGAGUGAUGAAGGCUUUCGGGUCGUAAAACUCUGUUGUUAGGGAAGAACAAGUGCUAGGUGAAUAAGCUGGCACCUUGACGGUACCUAACCAGAAAGCCACGGCUAACUACGUGCCAGCAGCCGCCGUAA
rnacentral:rRNA from 1 species